UACGUAGGGCGCAAGCGUUGUCCGGAAUUAUUGGGCGUAAAGAGCUCGUAGGCGGUUUGUCGCGUCUGCUGUGAAAACUCGAGGCUCAACCUCGGGCUUGCAGUGGGUACGGGCAGACUAGAGUGCGGUAGGGGUGACUGGAAUUCCUGGUGUAGCGGUGGAAUGCGCAGAUAUCGGGAGGAACACCGGUGGCGAAGGCGGUUCUCUGGGCCUGACCUGGACGCUGAGGAGCGAAAGCGUGGGGAGCGAACAGG
rnacentral:rRNA from 1 species